rnacentral:rRNA from 1 species
UACGUAGGGGGCAAGCGUUGUCCGGAUUUAUUGGGCGUAAAGAGCGUGUAGGCGGCUAGAUAGGUCCGUUGUGAAAACUCGAGGCUCAACCUCGAGACGUCGAUGGAAACCAUCUGGCUAGAGUCCGGAAGAGGAGAGUGGAAUUCCUGGUGUAGCGGUGAAAUGCGCAGAUAUCAGGAAGAACACCCGUGGCGAAAGCGCUCUGCUAGGCCGCAACUGACACUGAGGGACGAAAGCUAGGGGAGCGAAUGGG